rnacentral:rRNA from 1 species
UUACCAGGUCUUGACAUCCCAGUGACCGUCCUAGAGAUANGAUUUUUCUUCGGAACACUGGAGACAGGUGGUGCAUGGUUGUCGUCAGCUCGUGUCGUGAGAUGUUGGGUUAAGUCCCGCAACGAGCGCAACCCCUAUUGUUAGUUGCCAUCAUUCANUUGGGCACUCUAGCGAGACUGCCGGUAAUAAACCGGAGGAAGGUGGGGAUGACGUCAAAUCAUCAUGCCCCUUAUGACCUGGGCUACACACGUGCUACAAUGGCUGGUACAACNAGUCGCAAGUCNGUGACGACAAGCUAAUCUCUUAAAGCCAGUCUCANUUCGGAUUGUAGGCUGCAACUCGCCUACAUGAAGUCGGAAUCGCUAGUAAUCGCGGAUCAGCACGCCGCGGUGAAUACGUUCCC